CUCGGUUUUUUAUUUUUAAAUCUACUCGGUCAAUUUUACUCAAGAGUAAAGAUUUACUACUGAAAAAAGAUUUGCUACUGAAAAGUUGAGUAAAUCAUUUGCUCAAAAUUUGAGUUUUUAUUCAAUAUUUUGAGCCACUGUGAUGCAGGGGUGCAUUAUUUUACUAGUCACGGACACGAUUUCUAGUCAAAUAUCUUUCCAAUAUAUGUAUGUAUCUCUUGAAAUUUUCUGCUGAUAAAGUAUUUUGUGAUUUAAAUUGCUGGUUUACUUUCGUAUGACACCGAAAUAUAAUGAUUCUAGCCGGUGAAUCGUCAGCGUUUAAACUGCUGCGUCAUGAAAUAUAGCCAGUUGUUGUUGUCUUCUAGUUUGACUAAAACCUACUGGAAUAAAAUCCGACAUUUUCUAUGGAAACGUCGGAAACUCAUUCAAUAUAUGCGAACCUAAUACUCGACAACUUGAAAGGGAAAAUAGUCUUCCCAUAUAUAACACAUGCAGUAACAUGAUACAACUAGAGUAUUAUAAAUAUAUAUAAAAAAAGCUGCAGACAGUCCAAACGAAAUCUGAUUUUAUAGCUGAUUUGUGUAAUUUCUUUGGGUUUCCGCUAUUACUUUUUUGUACCCUUACCGAACUAUUUACAUUGCCUAUUAAUUCAUCAGGCAAUUUCGCUUGUCGUAACACUGAGUGCUUUCAGUUUAAAGCCCGGAUCAAACGGGGAUGAGAGUCCACGAGAGUUAUUGGCAGUCACGCGACCUUGGUUGAUCAUGACUGUCUUACUGCUUUUCCAACACUAUCGUGUAUUUUAUUGGGGUUAAAAAGUAGUUGGAACACUCGUCAAACCUUCAUUUUGUCAACCUAGAGCAACUGUAGUGUCCCCAGUAACAAUGGGUGACUCAGUGCCAACUCUCUUCAACUCUUAGAAUCCUCAUUUGAUUGGGGUUAGUGAACUCUACCAAACCCAGCUAGUUGUAGUGCUUAUAUUAUAUAAAUUGCUGUGUUUUGUGUUUUCUUCGUGUAAUGUUAAAACUGGACUAUUAAGAAUGGCCCCAAUUGCUGGAUUUUUGAAUGAAAUUAUAGUCCAGUUUCAUCCGAGAUGGUCAGUCUUUGGAUUGAAAAAUGAUAAUCUUAUUAUAGUCUCGUUUUGCGAUGGCUCAGACAGUAUACUGUAUACAAAAUGACGCUAACGUUUAGUGUUGAUGUUGUUUAAUCCUUUUAAUUAAUCAGACUAACUACAUCGGCAAUAGAUACUGCUAACAAUGCAGAGCCAGAGACCAAUGAAUGAAGUUAUAAUUAGCUGAUUAAUAUACAACGUAAUUCUAAUAUUGAACUAAUUUUGAAAACACAAUCUCGCGCAACGGCGUUAGCAAG